rnacentral:rRNA from 1 species
UAGGGAAUCUUCGGCAAUGGUGGGAACCCUGACCGAGCAACGCCGCGUGAGUGAAGAAGGUUUUCGGAUCGUAAAGCUCUGUUGUUAAGGAAGAACGAGUGUGAGAAUGGAAAGUUCAUGCUGUGACGGUACUUAACCAGAAAGGGACGGCUAACUACGUACCAGCAGCCGCGGUAAUACGUAGGUCCCGAGCGUUGUCCGGAUUUAUUGGGCGUAAAGCGAGCGCAGGCGGUUAGAAAAGUCUGAAGUGAAAGGCAGUGGCUCAACCAUUGUAGGCUUUGGAAACUGUUUAACAUGAGUGCAGAAGGGGAGAGUGGAAUUCCAUGUGUAGCGGUGAAAUGCGUAGAUAUAUGGAGGAACACCGGUGGCGAAAGCGGCUCUCUGGUCUGUAACUGACGCUGAGGCUCGAAAGCGUGGGGAGCGAACAGG